CAGCAGCCGCGGUAAUACGAAGGGGGCUAGCGUUGCUCGGAAUGACUGGGCGUAAAGGGCGCGUAGGCGGAUGGUACAGUCAGACGUGAAAUUCCUGGGCUCAACCUGGGGACUGCGUUUGAGACGUGCGAUCUAGAGUUUGGAAGAGGGUCGUGGAAUUCCCAGUGUAGAGGUGAAAUUCGUAGAUAUUGGGAAGAACACCGGUGGCGAAGGCGGCGACCUGGUCCUUGACUGACGCUGAGGCGCGAAAGCGUGGGGAGCAAACAGGAUUAGAUACCCGAGUAGUCCCUGUCUCUUAUAC
rnacentral:rRNA from 1 species